ACGAGAAUAUUCCGCAAUGGACGAAAGUCUGACGGAGCGACGCCGCGUGAUCGAUGAAGUGCUUCGGUACGUAAAGAUCUUUUAUCGGGGACGAAGUUUAUUGACGGUACCCGAUGAAUAAGGAGCUCCUAACUCUGUGCCAGCAGGAGCGGUAAUACAGAGGCUCCAAGCAUUACCCGGAAUCAUUGGGCGUAAAGGGUGUCUAGGCGGCCAUAUUAGUCUCUCGUUAAAUCCGUGGGCUUAACCUACGGUCUGCGAGGGAAACGGUAUGGCUCGAGGGCGUGAGAGGUGCAUGGAACUCAUGGUGGAGGGGUGAAAUCCGUUGAUAUCAUGGGGAACACCAAAGGCGAAGGCAGCGCACUGGCCAAAAUCUGACGCUCACACACGAAAGCUAGGGUAGCGAAGAGGAUUAGAUACCCAAGUAGUCCCAGCGGGCUGGCAAG
rnacentral:rRNA from 1 species